rnacentral:rRNA from 1 species
UGCAGUCGACGAUGACGCCCUUCGGGGUGGAUUAGUGGCGAACGGGUGAGUAACACGUGGGCAAUCUGCCCUGCACUCUGGGACAAGCCCUGGAAACGGGGUCUAAUACCGGAUAUGACCAUCUUGGGCAUCCUUGAUGGUGUAAAGCUCCGGCGGUGCAGGAUGAGCCCGCGGCCUAUCAGCUUGUUGGUGAGGUAACGGCUCACCAAGGCGACGUCGGGUAGCCGGCCUGAGAGGGCGACCGGCCACACUGGGACUGAGACACGGCCCAGACUCCUACGGGAGGCAGCAGUGGGGAAUAUUGCACAAUGGGCGAAAGCCUGAUGCAGCGACGCCGCGUGAGGGAUGACGGCCUUCGGGUUGUAAACCUCUUUCAGCAGGGAAGAGAGCGAGAGUGACGGUACCUGCAGAAGAAGCGGCGGCUAACUACGUGCCAGCAGCCGCGGUAAUACGUAGGGCGCAAGCGUUGUCCGGAAUUAUUGGGCGUAAAGAGCUCGUAGGCGGCUUGUCACGUCGGUUGUGAAAGCCCGGGGCUUAACCCCGGGUCUGCAGUCGAUACGGGCAGGCUAGAGUUCGGUAGGGGGAGAUCGGGAUUCCUGGUGUAGCGGUGAAAUGCGCAGAUAUCAGGAGGAACACCGGUGGCGAAGGCGGAUCUCUGGGCCGAUACUGACGCUGAGGAGCGAAAGCGUGGGGAGCGAACAGGAUUAGAUACCCUGGUAGUCCACGCUGUAAACGGUGGGCACUAACUGUGGGCAACAUUCCACGUUGUCCGUGCCGCAGCUACGCAUUAAGUGCCCGCCUGGGGAGUACGGCCGCAUGCUAAACUCAAGGAAUUGACGGGGUCCGCACA